rnacentral:rRNA from 1 species
CCUACGGGGGGCAGCAGUAGGGAAUCUUUCACAAUGGGCGAAAGCCUGAUGGAGCAACGCCGCGUGCAGGAUGAAGGCCUUCGGGUUGUAAACUGCUUUUAUAAGCGAGAAAUAUGAUGGUAACUUAUGAAUAAGGAUCGGCUAACUACGUGCCAGCAGCCGCGGUCAUACGUAGGAUCCGAGCAUUAUCCGGAGUGACUGGGUGUAAAGAGUGGCGUAGGUGGCAUAAUAAGUAGCUAGUGAAAUCGGGUGGCUCAACCAUUCAGACUAUUAGCUAAACUGUUAAGCUCGAGACCGUUAGGGGUAACUGGAAUUUCUAGUGUAGGAGUGAAAUCCGUAGAUAUUAGAAGGAACACCAAUAGCGUAGGCAGGUUACUGGGACGGUUCUGACACUAAGGCACGAAAGCGUAGGGAGCAAACGGGAUUAGAUACCCUGGUAGUC